UUAAGCAUAUCAAUAAGCGGAGGAAAAGAAACCAACAGGGAUUGCCCUAGUAACGGCGAGUGAAGCGGCAACAGCUCAAAUUUGAAAUCUGGCCCUUGGGUCCGAAUUGUAAUUUGUAGAGGAUGUUUUUGGUGCGGUAUCUUCCGAGUUCCUUGGAACAGGACGCCUUAGAGGGUGAGAGCCCCGUACGGUUGAAUGCCUAGCCUUUGUAAAACUCCUUCGACGAGUCGAGUAGUUUGGGAAUGCUGCUCUAAAUGGGAGGUAAAUUUCUUCUAAAGCUAAAUACCGGCCAGAGACCGAUAGCGCACAAGUAGAGUGAUCGAAAGAUGAAAAGCACUUUGAAAAGAGGGUUAAAUAGCACGUGAAAUUGUUGAAAGGGAAGGAUUUAUGACCAGACUUUUUCUAGGCGAAUCAUCCGGUGUUCUCACCGGUGCACUUUGUUUAGUUUAGGCCAGCAUCGAUUUUUGGGGCGGGAUAAAAGCUUUAGGAAUGUGGCUCCCCCGGGAGUGUUAUAGCCUAUUGUAUAAUACCGCUCUGGGGAUCGAGGUACGCGCUUCUGCAAGGAUGCUGGCGUAAUGGUUAUCAAUCACCCGUCUUGAAACACGGACCAAGGAGUCGAACAUUUGUGCAAGUGUUUGGGUGUUAAACCCUCACGCGUAAUGAAAGUGAACGGAGGUGAGAGCCCUUACGGGUGCAUCAUCGACCGAUCCUGAUGUCUUCGGAUGGAUUUGAGUAAGAGCAUAAAUGUUCGGACCCGAAAGAUGGUGAACUAUGCGUGGAUAGGGUGAAGCCAGAGGAAACUCUGGUGGAGGCUCGCAGCGGUUCUGACGUGCAAAUCGAUCGUCAAAUCUGCGCAUGGGGGCGAAAGACUAAUCGAACCAUCUAGUAGCUGGUUACCGCCGAAGU
rnacentral:rRNA from 1 species